GUGUCUGUGUCAUGGUGUGUCUGUCUGUGUCAUUGUGUGUGUCUGUGUGUCUAUGUCUGUCAUGGUGUGUGUGUCUGUGUCAUGGUGUGUGUCUGCCUGUGUCAUGUAAUGUGUGUCUGUGUCACGAUCUCUGUGUCGUGGUGUGUCUGUCUGUGUCAUUGUGUGUGUCUGUGUGUCUAUGUCUGUCAUGGUGUGUGUGUCUGUGUCAUGGUGUGUGUCUGCCUGUGUCAUGUAAUGUGUGUCUGUGUCACGAUCUCUGUGUCGUGGUGUGUCUGUCUGUGUCGUGUGUGUGUC